rnacentral:rRNA from 1 species
GACGAACGCUGGCGGCGUGCUUAACACAUGCAAGUCGAACGGAAAGGCCCUGCUUUUGUGGGGUGCUCGAGUGGCGAACGGGUGAGUAACACGUGAGUAACCUGCCCUUGACUUUGGGAUAACUUCAGGAAACUGUGUCUAAUACCGGAUAGGAGCUCCUGCUGCAUGGUGGGGGUUGGAAAUUUUCGGCGGUUGGGGAUGGACUCGCGGCUUAUCAGCUUGUUGGUGGGGUAGUGGCUUACCAAGGCUUUGACGGGUAGCCGGCCUGAGAGGGUGACCGGCCACAUUGGGACUGAGAUACGGCCCAGACUCCUACGGGAGGCAGCAGUGGGGAAUAUUGCACAAUGGGCGGAAGCCUGAUGCAGCAACGCCGCGUGCGGGAUGACGGCCUUCGGGUUGUAAACCGCUUUCGCCUGUGACGAAGCGUGAGUGACGGUAAUGGGUAAAGAAGCACCGGCUAACUACGUG